AUAUCUUGCUCGUUUGAAUUGUUUUUCAUUCGAUUCAAAUUGGAGAAUGAUCCUUGAAAUGUCUAGUUUCCAGAAUGUCUUUUGGAGCCUCAUUUGGAGAUCCGAGGUAGAUUUGGUGUCUGUUGUAAAACAACCCCUUAAGAGCUCAAGUUGUUGAAUUAUUUUCUAUGUAUCAAAGUUUAUUUUAAAGGAUGUUUCGUGAAAGAUUUAGUAUAUGUGCAUAACAAGUUUGGGACUAUUUAUUUUAAAUGAGGUCCGUUCUUUAUUUAAAUUAGGAUGGACUUUUAAUGAAUAUUUUUGGGAUUAAACUAUUAUUUCUUGAUUUAUAUAAAUUAUUUUUAAGGACUUAUAAAUAUGAAUUUCGUAGGCCUACUGACCUACUGUGAUCGACGGUUUGUCGAUGUCUAACAGCUUUGAAAAUUUUAUAGCAAGUCCCUACAUGAGUCUUGAGUACCCUGGUAAAAUUUCAAGCCAUUCCAACUUCGUAUGAUACUUCUUUAAAAUGCAAAACCUAAACUGCACAUUACUACUGAGAAUUUCAGAGAACAGAGAAAAGAGUCAUUUAUUUCAGUAGCUUCCUGGGUGAUCUAGCUUUCCAAAUUUUUAUGGUAUUAACCUUAUUGUGUUAUUUAGAUAUCCACCAAAGUUGAGCCCAGUUUGACAACGUUUACUAUUUUUCAAAAAUACAAGUUUUCGAUUGUUCAAAACUGCCGAACAUGGUAGAUCGUGGUAAAAACGUCAUAUCUCUCAAACCACUUGGAGUUUUUGACUCUAUUUUUUUUUAUAUGAAACUAGACUCGAAGAUCUUUCUUUCGGUAUGAGUCUCGAGUCCAGGAGAUGUCGGAGUCAGAACAGAUUAAAUUUUGAAGUUGAGUCAGUGUAAAAGCAGAGCAUGUUUUGAUGAUGUUUGAUUGUGAUUCUUAUGUGCCUUAUGUUGAGCCUUUUUAUUUUAUUUUAUUUUUUUUUAAUUUUAUAACAUUACUUGUUCUUAUUUAUUAAGCCCGAUUAAUUAUGAGAUUAUAAAGCGAAUAAGUUGAAGUAUUUAUUUUCUAUUGACUACGAGGAACGGGGUUUAUUUAAUUGACGGAUUAGAACACCCGAUGAGAACGGAUUGAUUAUGAUAAUCUAUCCGACCUCAUGUGACGAGCCUUAUUUAAAUUAUUUUAUUUCGACAAUUAGGAUUUAUAAUAGAAUUUCCCAGAUUAUUAUCUCAGAAUAAUAAUUAUCGGAAUAUGAGUCAUGCAUAGUUAAAUUACGCAUUCUCAUUAAUUGAGGAUUUUAUUCGAGCAGUAUCUUAUUUAUAUUCUCGUAAUAAAGGUCAAACACGAGAUUAAUAAUCAGUCAAGGAGCUACUGUACCACAGAAAAUUUCUAUCAGGUUGAGCAGCUGCCGAUGGUGAUGAAGUGACGAGCGGGAUUCUUUUGUCUUAUUAUGUAUUAAUGAACUCUAGGGUUACAUGUCUUCAUACAUGUAAUCAGAACCUUAUUCCGCUGCGUACUCAGAAGUUUUAUGUUAUUUUGGAUAAGUCGGAGUUAUCCGAACUUGUUAGUUAUUUGAGUCUAUACGACAAAAACUCUGUUAUAUUAUAGAUAUCCAUGUUGUUAACAAUGAUGAAAUACGAUCCUUUCUUGUUUGAUUA